UACGGAGGGUGCGAGCGUUGUUCGGAAUUACUGGGCGUAAAGCGCGUGUAGGCGGUGGUGUAAGUCGGGUGUGAAAGCCCUGGGCUCAACCCAGGAAUUGCGCUCGAAACUGCAUGACUGGAGUACGGGAGAGGGGUGUGGAAUUCCUGGUGUAGAGGUGAAAUUCGUAGAUAUCAGGAGGAACACCGGUGGCGAAGGCGACACCCUGGACCGAUACUGACGCUGAGACGCGAAAGCGUGGGGAGCAAACAGG
rnacentral:rRNA from 1 species